rnacentral:rRNA from 1 species
CCUACGGGAGGCAGCAGUGGGGGAUAUUGCACAAUGGGGGAAACCCUGAUGCAGCGACGCCGCGUGGGUGAAGAAGCGCCUCGGCGCGUAAAGCCCUGUCAGCAGGGAAGAAAAUGACGGUACCUGAAGAAGAAGCCCCGGCUAACUACGUGCCAGCAGCCGCGGUCAUACGUAGGGGGCGAGCGUUAUCCGGAUUUACUGGGUGUAAAGGGGGCGCAGACGGCGAUGCAAGCCAGGAGUGAAAGCCGGGGGCCCAACCCCGGGACUGCUAUUGGAACUGCGUGGCUAGAGUGCAGGAGGGGCAGGCGGAAUUCGUGGUGGAGCGGUGAAAUGCGUAGAUAUCAGGAGGAACACCGGUGGCGAAGGCGGCCUGCUGGACUGCAACUGACGUUGAGGCCCGAAAGCGUGGGGAGCAAACAGGAUUAGAUACCCUGGUAGUC